AGGAGGACAAUGUGGUGUUGGGAAAAAGAAUAUUUUCUUGUUACACACUGUGACAGAGUGUACAUUCCUACUUAAGAUUUGAGGCUUACAUGGAGAAUAACUCCUUCAAUUGAGCCAGUUUAUAUACCCUUCUUCAGGAACUUGGAAAGCAGCAGCCAUUGGUCUACAAUCAUCUCAGGCCUCCUUGCCAUUGGACCAAGCUCUCACUCUGUCAGGUUCAUAUGAUAGCUGCUGUGCAAUGCUC